CCUCAACAAGAAGGCUGUUGGAUGCCAUUCAUAACGUCAUUGCAUCACAACCUACUUGAUUGAGGGG
rnacentral:pre_miRNA from 1 species